rnacentral:rRNA from 1 species
UACGUAGGGUGCAAGCGUUGUCCGGAAUUAUUGGGCGUAAAGAGCUCGUAGGCGGCCUGUCGCGUCGGCUGUGAAAACCCGAGGCUCAACCUCGGGCCUGCAGUCGAUACGGGCAGGCUAGAGUUCGGUAGGGGAGACUGGAAUUCCUGGUGUAGCGGUGAAGUGCGCAGAUAUCAGGAGGAACACCGGUGGCGAAGGCGGGUCUCUGGGCUUGUUCUGACGCUGAGGCACAAAAGCUGGGGGAGCAAACGGG